rnacentral:rRNA from 1 species
AUUCCAGCUCCAAUAGCGUAUAUUAAAGUUGUUGCAGUUAAAAAGCUCGUAGUUGGAUUUCUGGCAGGAGUGACUGACCACAAACUCUGUUUGUGAGUUGUGUCAUUCUGGCCAUCCUUGGUAAGAUCCUUUUUGGCAUUAAGUUGUCGGGAAGGGGAUGACCAUCGUUUACUGUGAAAAAAUUAGAGUGUUUAAAGCAGGCUUAUGCCGUUGAAUAUAUUAGCAUGGAAUAAUAAGAUAGGACUUUGAGUCUAUUUUGUUGGUUUGCGCAUCAAGGUAAUGAUUAAUAGGGUCAGUUGGGGGUAUUCGUAUUCCGUUGUCAGAGGUGAAAUUCUUGGAUUUGCGGAAGACGAACGACUGCGAAAGCAUUUACCAAGGAUGUUUUCAUCG